rnacentral:rRNA from 1 species
AAAACUUUCAACAACGGAUCUCUUGGUUCCGGCAUCGAUGAAGAACGCAGCGAAAUGCGAUAAGUAAUGUGAAUUGCAGAAUUCCGUGAAUCAUCGAAUCUUUGAACGCACAUUGCGCCCCCUGGUAUUCCGGGGGGCAUGCCUGUUCGAGCGUCAUUUCAACCCUCA